rfam:Ictidomys tridecemlineatus contig011424, whole genome shotgun sequence.
GGGAAUGUAGCUCAGUGAUAGAGCACCUACCUACUGUGCAUGAGGCCCUGGGUUUGAUACUCAGCAUUACAU